GUUCCCGGGGUGGGAUUGGGAGGUGAACGUACUGAGGUAACCCCGAUCACACCACUGGCAGGCGGGGGGCGGGGCCUGCGGAACAACCUGGCCUGAGACGCUGCGUUUAGCAUCCUGCGCUUAGCUCAUUCAUUGGCCGCGGUGUCGCUAUAGAAGACGCGUGUGUAACUCCACAGCCAUCCUGCAGGAACAAUGGAGGAAGCGACCCCUAAUUUAAAAACGCUGGAUCUGAAUCAUCAUUCCCACUUCAUUAUUGGUUCUGUAUCCGAGGACAACUCUGAGGAUGAAAUUAGCUCCCUGGUUAAAAUUGAUCUUCUAGAAGACAAGGAACGAUCUUCUUCCCCAGCGUCUAUAUCCUCAGACACCAUUUCUGACAUGGGAUUAUCAAGCUAUCAGGACAACCUUGCUUUACAAAUGCGGCCUAGUAUGUCUGGGCUCCAUCUAGUCAAGCAGGGGCGGGACCGCAAAAAAAUUGAUUUGCAAAGAGAUUUCACUGUGGCUUCACCAGCAGAAUUCGUCACUCGUUUUGGAGGGAAUAAAGUUAUUGAAAAGGUGCUUAUUGCUAAUAAUGGCAUAGCAGCUGUCAAAUGCAUGAGAUCGAUCAGGCGAUGGUCGUAUGAAAUGUUCAGAAAUGAGAGAGCAAUUCGAUUUGUAGUCAUGGUAACCCCUGAAGACCUGAAAGCGAAUGCAGAAUACAUUAAAAUGGCAGAUCACUACGUACCUGUUCCUGGAGGUCCAAAUAAUAAUAAUUAUGCUAACGUUGAGCUUAUUCUUGAUAUUGCGAAAAGGAUUCCUGUACAGGCAGUAUGGGCUGGAUGGGGUCAUGCCUCAGAGAAUCCUAAACUACCUGAACUUCUCCACAAAAAUGGCAUUGCUUUUAUGGGUCCGCCAAGUCAAGCCAUGUGGGCAUUAGGAGAUAAAAUUGCAUCAUCAAUUGUUGCCCAAACAGCUGGAAUUCCGACUCUACCAUGGAGUGGCAGUGGUUUAAAAGUCGACUGGCAGGAAAGUGAUCUAAAGAAGCGCAUUUUAAGUGUGUCACAAGAGGUUUAUGAAAAGGGCUAUGUAAAAGAUGUGGAUGAUGGGUUAAAGGCAGCAGAAAUGGUGGGGUAUCCUGUAAUGAUCAAGGCAUCUGAGGGAGGAGGUGGAAAAGGUAUUCGGAAAGUGAACAAUGCAGAAGAUUUUCCAAACCUUUUCAGACAGGUUCAAACAGAAGUUCCUGGUUCUCCAAUAUUUGUAAUGAGACUGGCCAAGCAAUCACGUCAUCUGGAGGUACAGAUUCUUGCUGAUCAGUAUGGAAACGCAAUUUCACUUUUUGGCCGGGAUUGUUCUGUUCAGCGUCGUCACCAGAAGAUUAUUGAAGAGGCUCCUGCUUCAAUUGCUACCAGCACCGUGUUUGAAGAAAUGGAGCAGUGUGCUGUGAAGCUAGCUAAAAUGGUUGGAUAUGUAAGCGCAGGUACAGUUGAGUAUCUCUACAGUCAGGAUGGCAGCUUUUACUUCCUGGAACUUAACCCACGUCUGCAAGUGGAGCACCCCUGCACAGAGAUGGUUGCAGAUGUUAAUCUUCCAGCUGCACAACUUCAGAUUGCCAUGGGAAUUCCUCUUCAUAGAAUUAAGGAUAUUCGAAUGCUUUAUGGAGUUACAGCUUGGGGAGACACACCAAUUGACUUUGACAACUCCUAUAAUGCUCCCUGCCCUAGAGGACAUGUCAUUGCUGCUCGAAUUACAAGUGAAAAUCCAGAUGAGGGUUUUAAACCUAGCUCUGGAACAGUUCAAGAACUAAAUUUUCGCAGCAAUAAGAAUGUCUGGGGCUACUUCAGUGUUGCUGCUGCAGGAGGUCUACAUGAAUUUGCAGAUUCUCAGUUUGGCCACUGCUUUUCAUGGGGAGAAAACCGAGAAGAAGCCAUUUCUAAUAUGGUGGUCGCCCUGAAAGAAUUAUCAAUACGUGGAGAUUUUCGAACAACAGUGGAAUAUUUGAUAAAACUUCUUGAAACUGAAAGUUUUCAGCACAAUAGAAUUGACACAGGCUGGCUAGACAGACUAAUCUCGGAAAAAGUGCAGGCUGAACGUCCUGAUACUAUGCUUGGAGUUGUGUGCGGAGCACUGCAUGUGGCUGAUGUAAGCCUUAGAAACAGUGUCUCCAACUUCCUUCACUCCCUGGAACGUGGUCAAGUCUUACCGGCACAUACCCUAUUAAACACCGUAGAUGUGGAACUUAUCUAUGAGGGGAAGAAAUACGUGCUAAAGGUUACACGUCAGUCUCCAAAUUCCUAUGUUGUGAUCAUGAACAACUCCUAUGUGGAAGUAGAUGUGCACAGACUGAGUGAUGGUGGUCUACUCCUAUCCUAUGAUGGUAGCAGCUAUACAACGUAUAUUAAAGAGGAAAUUGACCGGUAUCGUAUCACUAUUGGAAAUAAAACAUGUGUUUUUGAAAAGGAAAAUGAUCCAUCCAUUCUGCGCUCCCCAUCUGCCGGCAAGCUUAUCCAGUAUGUGGUAGAAGAUGGAGGCCAUGUCUUUGCAGGGCAGUGCUAUGCUGAAAUUGAGGUCAUGAAGAUGGUGAUGACCCUGACUGCCGUGGAGUCGGGAUGUAUACAUUAUGUGAAGCGCUCUGGGGCUGUUCUUGAGCCUGGUUGUGUAAUUGCUAAACUGCAGCUUGAUGAUCCCAGCAGAGUUCAGCAGGCUGAUCUCCACACAGGAGCUUUGCCAGUGUUACACAGCACUGCUUUGCAAGGAGAAAAGCUACAUCGGGUCUUUCACUGUGUGUUGGAUAACUUGGUAAAUGUCAUGAAUGGAUACUGCCUUCCAGAACCAUAUUUCAGCAGCAAGGUUAAGGACUGGGUGGAAAGGCUAAUGAAGACCCUUAGGGAUCCAUCACUUCCUCUGCUUGAAUUGCAGGACAUCAUGACAAGUGUAUCAGGACGUAUACCACCAAAUGUGGAAAAAGCUAUAAAAAAAGAGAUGGCACAGUAUGCCAGUAACAUUACUUCUGUAUUGUGCCAGUUUCCAAGCCAGCAGAUUGCAAAUAUAUUAGACAGUCAUGCAGCUACACUGAACCGUAAAUCUGAACGUGAGGUUUUCUUCAUGAACACACAAAGCAUUGUGCAACUGGUGCAAAGAUACCGAAGUGGCAUUCGUGGUCAUAUGAAAGCUGUAGUCAUGGAUCUGCUUCGUCAGUAUCUGAAAGUUGAAACACAGUUCCAGCAUGGUCAUUACGACAAGUGUGUCUUUAGUCUUCGUGAAGAAAAUAAAAGUGACCUUACAUUGGUACUGAAUUACAUCUUCUCCCAUGCUCAGGUCACCAAGAAGAAUCUUCUAAUUACCAUGCUAAUUGACCAGUUGUGUGGACGGGACCCUACAUUAACUGAUGAGUUACUAAAUAUCUUGACAGAACUUACCCAACUAAGCAAAACAACGAAUGCUAAAGUGGCUUUGCGGGCCCGUCAGGUCCUUAUUGCUUCACAUUUGCCUUCAUAUGAACUUCGUCACAACCAGGUGGAAUCCAUAUUCUUAUCUGCUAUCGACAUGUAUGGGCAUCAGUUCUGCAUUGAGAAUCUACAGAAACUUAUUUUGUCUGAAACAUCCAUCUUUGAUGUGCUGCCAAACUUUUUUUACCACAGCAACCAGGUGGUAAGAAUGGCUGCGUUAGAGGUGUAUGUACGGCGGGCGUACAUCGCCUAUGAACUGAAUAGUGUGCAGCAUCGGCAGCUAAAGGACAACACGUGUGUAGUUGAGUUUCAGUUUAUGUUGCCAACAUCUCAUCCAAACAGGGGGAACAUCCCUACUUUGAACAGAAUGUCAUUUUCUUCCAAUCUUAACCAUUAUGGAAUGGUGCACGUUGCUAGUGUCAGUGAUGUGCUAUUUGAUACUUCAUUUACUCCUCCAUGUCAGAGAAUGGGUGGCAUGGUUGCAUUUCGGACUUUUGAUGAUUUUGUCAGAAUGUUUGAUGAUGUCAUGAGCUGCUUCUCAGACUCUCCUCCACAAAGUCCCAUAUUCCCCGAGGCAGGACAUCCUUCGUUGUAUGAUGAAGAUGACAACAAGAGCAUCCGAGAUGAACCUAUCCACAUCCUAAACAUUGCCAUCAAAACUGACUGUGAUAUUGAUGAUGAUAGUUUGGCUGCCAUGUUCCGAGAUUUUACGCAAAACAAGAAAGCUGUGCUUAUGGACCAUGGAAUUCGUCGACUGACAUUUUUGGUAGCUCAAAAGGAUUUUAGAAAGCAGAUUAACUGUGAGGUAGACCAAAGGUUUCAUAGGGAAUUCCCGAAAUUCUUUACCUUCCGGGCAAGAAACAAGUUUGAGGAAGACCGAAUCUACAGACAUUUGGAACCUGCCCUUGCCUUCCAGUUAGAACUGAACCGUAUGCGAAACUUUGACUUAACAGCAAUUCCAUGUGCCAACCAUAAAAUGCAUCUGUAUUUGGGAGCUGCUAAGGUAGAAGAAGGAACUGAAGUAACAGAUUAUAGGUUCUUUGUCCGUGCAAUCAUUAGACAUUCUGAUCUAGUUACUAAGGAAGCUUCAUUUGAGUACCUUCAAAAUGAAGGGGAGCGACUACUUCUAGAAGCCAUGGAUGAACUGGAAGUAGCAUUUAAUAACACCAAUGUGCGCACAGACUGUAAUCAUAUCUUCUUAAACUUUGUACCUACUGUAAUCAUGGACCCUUCAAAAAUUGAGGAAUCUGUUCGAAGCAUGGUCAUGCGCUAUGGUAGUAGACUAUGGAAAUUACGCGUUCUACAAGCUGAACUUAAAAUAAACAUUCGUUUAACACCAACCGGAAAGCAAAUUCCAAUUCGCUUAUUUUUGACAAAUGAAUCUGGCUACUACCUGGACAUUAGCUUGUACAAAGAAGUGACAGACUCCAGAACUGCACAGAUCAUGUUCCAGGCAUAUGGAGAUAAACAAGGACCGCUUCAUGGGAUGCUCAUUAACACUCCUUAUGUAACAAAAGAUCUCUUACAAUCAAAAAGAUUUCAGGCACAGUCCUUAGGGACAACCUAUAUCUAUGAUAUUCCUGAAAUGUUCCGUCAGGCUUUAAUCAAGCUGUGGGAGACAAUGGAUGCCAGUACCUAUAUUCCAAAGAGUCCAUUACCUUCUGAUGUUCUGAUAUAUACUGAGCUUGUACUGGAUGACCAGGGUCAAUUGGUACACAUGAACAGGCUUCCAGGAGGGAAUGAGAUAGGAAUGGUGGCAUGGAAAAUGACCCUGAAAACUCCAGAGUAUCCAGAUGGCAGAGAUAUUAUUGUAAUAGGGAAUGAUAUUACAUACAGGAUUGGUUCAUUUGGACCUCAAGAGGAUUUGUUGUAUUUAAGAGCCUCAGAGCUAUCCAGAUCACAAGGGAUUCCACGUAUAUAUGUUGCAGCAAACAGUGGUGCAAGAAUUGGUUUGGCUGAAGAGAUACGACACAUGUUUCACGUUGCAUGGGAAGAUGCUGCAGACCCUUAUAAGGGAUAUAAAUAUCUAUAUUUAACACCUCAAGACUACAAGAAAGUCAGUGCACUGAACUCUGUUCACUGUGAGCAUGUGGAGGAUGAAGGCGAAUCACGGUACAAGAUAACAGACAUAAUUGGUAAAGAAGAAGGUCUUGGAGUAGAGAACCUCCGAGGGUCUGGCAUGAUUGCUGGAGAAACCUCACUGGCUUAUGAAGAGGUCAUCACCAUUAAUCUGGUGACCUGCAGAGCAAUUGGCAUUGGAGCGUAUUUGGUGAGAUUGGGUCAAAGAACAAUACAGGUGGAAAACUCUCAUAUUAUUUUGACUGGCGCUGGAGCCCUAAACAAAGUGCUAGGUCGAGAGGUCUACACAUCAAACAACCAGCUUGGUGGCAUUCACAUCAUGCACAACAAUGGUGUCACUCACACCACGGUAUAUGAUGACUAUGAAGGAGUGUACACUAUUCUGCAGUGGCUUUCUUAUAUGCCUAAGUGCAAGUCCAGUCCUGUACCCAUAAUUACCCAAAAGGAUCCCAUAGACAGGCAGAUUGAGUUUGCUCCCUCUAAAGCCCCUUAUGAUCCUAGAUGGAUGCUGGCUGGACGACCUCACCCAUGUCAGAAAGGACAAUGGUUAAGUGGAUUCUUUGACCAUGGAUCCUUCAUGGAAAUAAUGCAUCCAUGGGCACAAACUGUUGUAGUUGGAAGAGCCAGACUGGGAGGUAUACCUGUAGGAGUUGUCGCUGUGGAAACAAGGACUGUGGAAUUGAGUACACCUGCUGAUCCUGCUAAUCUGGACUCUGAAGCAAAGAUAAUUCAGCAAGCGGGACAGGUGUGGUUUCCAGAUUCCGCAUUUAAGACUGCCCAAGCAAUCAAGGAUUUCAACAGAGAAGGACUCCCACUUAUGCUGUUCGCUAACUGGAGGGGUUUUUCUGGUGGAAUGAAAGAUAUGUAUGAUCAAGUACUGAAGUUUGGAGCAUACAUUGUGGAUGGAUUACGUGAAUACCAACAGCCUGUGCUGGUGUACAUACCACCUCAAGCUGAGCUGAGAGGAGGUUCAUGGGUAGUAAUUGACUCAACAAUUAAUCCAAGGCACAUGGAAAUGUAUGCUGAUAAAGAGAGCAGGGGUGGUGUUCUGGAACCAGAAGGCACUGUUGAAAUAAAGUUCAGGAGAAAAGAUUUGGUGAAGACAAUGAGGAGAGUAGAUCCAGUUUACAUUCACCUGGCUGAGAGAUUAGGAACUCCAGAGCUUAGUCCUGCUGAAUGCAAAGAGUUGGAAAACAAGCUUAAGGAAAGAGAAGAAUUCCUGAUCCCGAUUUACCACCAAGUGGCCGUGCAGUUUGCAGAUCUACAUGAUACACCAGGUAGAAUGCAGGAAAAAGGUGUUAUAACUGAUAUUUUGGAAUGGAAAGUAUCGCGGACAUUUUUUUACUGGAGGUUACGGAGACUACUUUUGGAAGAUGUAGCAAAGAAGAAGAUCCAUGCUGCAAAUCCAGAGUUAACAGAUGGGCAGAUUCAAGCUAUGCUAAGGCGAUGGUUUGUUGAGGUAGAAGGAACUGUCAAGGCUUACCUAUGGGAUAAUAAUAAGGAUGUGGUAGAAUGGCUGGAGAAACAAUUGACUGAAGAGGAGGGGACCCGGUCUGUUGUUGAUGAAAAUAUCAAAUACAUUUCUAGAGAUUAUAUCCUAAAACAAAUUCGCAGCUUGGUGCAAGAAAACCCAGAAGUUGCCAUGGAUUCUAUUGUUCAUAUGACACAACACAUUUCGCCAACACAGAGGGCUGAAAUUGUACGAAUUUUGUCAACCAUGGACUCCCCAACAUCUACAUAGAGCUCCAGCAGGAUGGUGUUUAGUCUUAACAUACAAAACCAUGCUGUUAGGGAAGUCACACAACCUAACAUGAUGAAUGACAACAACAUAGGGACCUUUAAAUUUCCAAAUUUUUUUUCUUGUAAAGUCUGUUUUUAUUUAUUUAUAUAUAUAUAUAUAUAUAUAUAUAUAUAUAUAUAUAUAUAUAUAUUGGUUUUACAAUACACUGGAUAGUUACAAUGACAAGACCCCUCCAGUAGAUGUGUGUCCUGAUAGAGAGGAAAAAUACAGGGCUGCCAUCCAUAAGUUCUGAUUUUACAGGUUGACCCUUUAUUAUGGAGAAUUUUGUAUGUUUGCGUUUGACCCAGUAUCUUAGUCGGGAAUGCUUGGAGAAUAGUAGUAAGCUAUAAAUGCUUGUGGUGGUAUUCAAGCUGGGAUCUAAACUGGUCUUUAGGGAUCAUGGCUUGUUUUGAGAGUUUAAAAACUGGGUGAAGAAGGGGGGGGGAUUUAUCAUUGUUGUCUUUAGAAAGUGUGUUUUAAAGUCAUCUAUUUUUGCUUUGGUUUUACUUACAUGUGACAUUUUUAUCAUAUUAUCAUAGUGGGUUGGGUAAAUUUGACACAUAAGCAAAUUUUACAUCUGCAAAAAAAAUACAUAACUUCAGGAUCCUCUUCUCUGUGACUUUUCUGCACAAAGUCGCAGUUGCAACUUUUUAAACAAUCUCUCCCAAGGCCGUUUUGUAAGCCAGGUCUGGGCUGGUGUUGAUUUAAGUUUUUUUUGAGAAGUUGUCGACUUUUUAUGCGACAUCCGCACUUGAUAAAUCCAUUACCACUGCAAAGUGAAAACUGGAAUUGACUUUUGUAAUAUUGUUUGCAGCUUUUUACUUACAGCCAAAAGUUGGAAAAAAAGGUGCUUAGGCGCACAUGCGACAUUUGAUGCGCCGAAUAUAAGCAUAAAAAAACCUCUAAAGACAAUGAUAACUCUGCCCCAAGGUUUUAGUUUUUUUAUUACAAUGUUGUCAUUAUCUUGUGUUUUCUCUUCUGUUUGUGUUUACAAGAGCACUUAAGCUUUAACAUAGAGCUUCUUUGAAAACCAUUUGCGUUUAGGAUAUAUUUCCACAAGUUUCCUUAAAGUACGUUAGUCCUAUACACUGAGUCAGUAUUAGUUCUGUAGUGUAUUGAAGUGUGAAUCUCCUGUAUGAUAGCAACAUACAAAUUUUGUGAAUUAUGUUACUGAAGGCCAUGUAUUCUGUCUCUCAAUGCAAUUAAAGGGGUUAUUUGGGACUAGAAAAACAGAGCACCACUCCCUGUCCUCAGGGUGUAUGUGGUAUUGCAGCUCCGUUCCAUUACAGUAAAUGUAACCAAGUAGUAAAGCCACACCCAACCUGAGGACAGCUGUGGUGAUGUUUAUUAAAAGAAAUUAGCUCUGUAUUUCUAUUUCUAGAUAUCUCUGGACAAACUAGACUUGAAGUAAGACUUGUAUAUGGUUUGCAUUGCUUGCCUGUGUGCAUUAUAUAGUAUAGAUAACGCUCAUGAAGUUAAUAUUGCCACAUAGGAUAUUUUAUAUUACAUGUACCAAUAAGUUUACACGGAGUUCCUCUAUAAAUGUAAAAGCAUUGUAAGGAAUGCUGCUUCAUGGUAUAACAGUGACUGAUGUCUCUCAGAGAAUCUGUUUUUGCUUGUAUGUGGUCUGCUUGUCUCUUUACAUGAAUACAAGUGAAAAUUAAGAGAUAAGAUGACAAAAAUGUAAGGAUGGAAGCAGUAGCCAAUGCUGGAGAAAAAGAAAGUCACGAAGUCCAUUUAUUUAACCAAGAGUUUCACAGGUGACUGCAUCUCUUGUCAGUGGUUUCUGUGUCUCGCUGCCACUCAUAAGUAUUGGUAGCCCCAGCAACAAUGAAAUAAAACCGUAUUUAAUAGUGUGGAGAGGAAAGCAGCCUCGCAUCCAGCACAUUUGUAUUUCUGCAAGUAUAUAUCAUGGAUUGGUUAUAAGACAUUUUUAAAGUGAAGCAUGACAAUUCUUUGCCAUAAAAAGGCAGCCUUCCAUCUUGUAGAGACGGUAGAGAUGGAACAAAGUAUGACUAGAAUGACAUGGAAUAAAUACGUUCUAGUUAUCGCUAGCGUGCUAAAUCCUAGGCAUAGACUUAGCAAAGCAGCAAUAGUGUUAAUGAUGUAUUGAAUGAAGACUGUUCUAUUCAGCUUCAAUCAUGGCUGCCGAGGAGAUGUUAGCAAAAGCCGUAGAAUAAUAGAGCCGCAUACACGCUGUUAUAAGAAGCACACAGACAAAGGAAUUUAGAAUCAAAUUAUUUGCCAGUCAUAUGUUUUGUAUUUUAAAAAGAUUUUUAAUUCAUUUGUUUUUGCAAUGUUCAUUGUUUUAGAGGUUUAUUUAUUGUAUCUGUUUGUCAUUGACUUUUACAUUUGUUUCCUGGAAUGUCAUAGUUAAAGUUUUAAUCCCCUCCAUCCUGUAUAAACCAAGUGCUGUCCAUUAGCUGAUACAAAAUGGGGAAAAAAGUUACUGUGCAAAAUUUCUUCUGUUUAUUUAUGCAUUAUUUAAAUGUGUAUGGUAUCUAGUAGGUGCUACUUUUCAGGAAUAAUCCCUUUGUCAUAGAAUCUAGUGACCAGUUUAAAAACACUGGCUUAAAUGCCACCUGGUGUGGUCAUAUGAUCAAGGUGAGUCUGAGGUUUGGCUGUGCCCAGGUAUACCGAGUAAUUUAAGGAAACCAGGAAGAAAUGGAAUAUAGAAUAUUGACUAAAAUCUCUAUAAUUGUGAGAUAGAAAACCUUUAGAUAUUACAUUCUUAAAUCAAGAAGCAGAGGCUACAAUAUUUCACAUAUAAAAUGCACAGGAAAAAAAAGUGAAAAACUAUAUCACACUAACUAUCCAU